AUUCGUGCAGCAGCUUGAGCUGCAUUUCGGACUGCAGCCAAGGCAUCUUUAAGUGAAACCUGGUCUUCAUUGGCAGCAAAACUCCCCUUUGAGAUGCUAUCUACAGUUAUCUCAGCAUCAACCUCAGCAUAUCCUUUAGAAAGCUCACUCUCUUCUAGUGUAAGGGAUGAAAGAUGGCUUGUUAGUGCCACCUCCGAAAGAUGAAAGAUAACCUGCAAGCCCCUUAUGCCCACAGUUGGCCGCAAUGGAUGCUGGAGUUUUGCCAACUGGAUCUUGUGAAGUUGGAUCUGUCACAGCCCCAGCUGAUGCACCAGAAGCUAAAAGGGCUGCAACCAUUUUUUCCCUUCCAAAACGAGCAGCCCAAUGAAGAGCAGUCCAUCCAUUAAUGUCUCGGAAAUUUACAUUGACUCCCUGACUGAGAAUUGGGCUCAAGGCCCACUCAUAGCCCAACCCAGCAACCAUGUGUAUGAUCCCCUGCUCUUUCUUGGACAAGGUACAACUAGGUUGAUCUUGUCUUUCCUGUGACUUGGAAGAAAGCCACUGCUGCAAUUU
rnacentral:misc_RNA from 1 species